GCCCUCUUGGCUUAGUGGUAAAGCGUAUCACUAGUAUGAAUUAUCUAAAUGAUAAGAUCGUAAGUUCGAUUCUUACAGAGGGCA
rfam:Pyrenochaeta sp. DS3sAY3a unplaced genomic scaffold IQ07scaffold_14, whole genome shotgun sequence.